CCUACGGGGGGCAGCAGUGAGGAAUAUUGGUCAAUGGGCGAGAGCCUGAACCAGCCAAGUCGCGUGAGGGAAGAAUGGUCUAUGGCCUGUAAACCUCUUUUGUCAGGGAAGAAUAAGGAUGACGAGUCAUUCGAUGCCAGUACUUGACGAAUAAGCAUCGGCUAACUCCGUGCCAGCAGCCGCGGUAAUACGGGGGAUGCGAGCGUUAUCCGGAUUUAUUGGGUUUAAAGGGCGCGUAGGCGGGACGUCAAGUCAGCGGUAAAAGACUGCAGCUAAACUGUAGCACGCCGUUGAAACUGGCGCCCUGGAGACGAGACGAGGGAGGCGGAACAAGUGAAGUAGCGGUGAAAUGCAUAGAUAUCACUUGGAACCCCGAUAGCGAAGGCAGCUUCCCAGGCUCGUUCUGACGCUGAUGCGCGAGAGCGUGGGUAGCGAACAG
rnacentral:rRNA from 1 species